UAGUGGCGGACGGGUGAGUAACGCGUGGGUAACCUGCCUUAUACAGGGGGAUAACAGUCAGAAAUGACUGCUAAUACCGCAUAAGCGCACAGAGCUGCAUGGCUCGGUGUGAAAAACUCCGGUGGUAUAAGAUGGACCCGCGUUGGAUUAGCUAGUUGGUGAGGUAACGGCCCACCAAGGCGACGAUCCAUAGCCGGCCUGAGAGGGUGAACGGCCACAUUGGGACUGAGACACGGCCCAGACUCCUACGGGAGGCAGCAGUGGGGAAUAUUGCACAAUGGGGGAAACCCUGAUGCAGCGACGCCGCGUGAAGGAAGAAGUAUCUCGGUAUGUAAACUUCUAUCAGCAGGGAAGAAAAUGACGGUACCUGACUAAGAAGCCCCGGCUAACUACGUGCCAGCAGCCGCGGUAAUACGUAGGGGGCAAGCGUUAUCCGGAAUUACUGGGUGUAAAGGGAGCGCAGGCGGGAAGACAAGUUGGAAGUGAAAACCAUGGGCUCAACCCAUGAAUUGCUUUCAAAACUGUUUUUCUUGAGUAGUGCAGAGGUAGAUGGAAUUCCCGGUGUAGCGGUGGAAUGCGUAGAUUAUCGGGAGGAACACCAGUGGCGAAGGCGGUCUACUGGGCACCAACUGACGCUGAGGCUCGAAGGCAUGGGUAGCAAACAGGAUUAGAUACCCUGGUAGUCCAUGCCGUAAACGAUGAUUACUAGGUGUUGGGGGAUUGACCCCCUCAGUGCCGCAGUUAACACAAUAAGUAAUCCACCUGGGGAGUACGACCGCAAGGUUGAAACUCAAAGGAAUUGACGGGGGCCCGCACAAGCAGUGGAGUAUGUGGUUUAAUUCGAAGCAACGCGAAGAACCUUACCAGGUCUUGACAUCCGAUGCAUAGCACAGAGAUGUGUGAAAUCCUUCGGGACAUCGAGACAGGUGGUGCAUGGUUGUCGUCAGCUCGUGUCGUGAGAUGUUGGGUUAAGUCCCGCAACGAGCGCAACCCUUAUUGCCAGUUACUACGUUAAGAGGACUCUGGCGAGACUGCCGUUGACAAAACGGAGGAAGGUGGGGAUGACGUCAAAUCAUCAUGCCCUUUAUGACCUGGGCUACACACGUACUACAAUGGCGUUAAACAAAGAGAAGCAAGACCGCGAGGUGGAGCAAAACUCAAAAACAACGUCUCAGUUCAGAUUGCAGGCUGCAACUCGCCUGCAUGAAGUCGGAAUUGCUAGUAAUCGCGGAUCAGCAUGCCGCGGUGAAUACGUACCCGGGCCUUGCACUCACCGCCCGUCA
rnacentral:rRNA from 1 species